GGGGCUGUGGCUCAGUGGUAGAUCAGUCGUUUUGCAUCCUGAAGGUUCCAGGUUCAGUCCCUGGCACCUCCA
rnacentral:tRNA from 1 species